GAUGAGCGCUAGCGGCGGGCUUAAUACAUGCAAGUCAAGGGGUAGCAAUACACCGGCGUACGGGUGCGUAACGCGUAUGGAACCUGCCCUUAUCUGGGGGAUAACUCGGGGAAACUCGAGCUAAUACCGCAUAAGAUAGUAAAGAGGCAUCUCUUAGCUAUUAAAGAUUUAUCGGAUAAGGAUGGCCAUGCGUAAGAUUAGAUAGUUGGCGAGGUAACGGCUCACCAAGUCUACGAUCUUUAGGGGCUCUGAGAGGAGAAUCCCCCACACUGGCGCGGAGAUACGGGCCAGACUCCUACGGGAGGCAGCAGUAGGGAAUAUUGGGCAAUGGGCGGAAGCCUGACCCAGCCACGCCGCGUGCAGGAAGACGGCCCUCUGGGUUGUAAACUGCUUUUAACUGGGAAGAAAGCAGCUCAUGCGUGAGAAUUUGACGGUACCAGUUGAAUAAGCCACGGCUAACUACGUGCCAGCAGCCGCCGUAAAAC
rnacentral:rRNA from 1 species